rnacentral:rRNA from 1 species
GGGGGAUAACGACGGGAAACUGUCGCUAAUACCGCGUAUUAUCGGAAGAUGAAAGUGCGGGACUGAGAGGCCGCAUGCCAUAGGAUGAGCCCAAGUGGGAUUAGGUAGUUGGUGGGGUAAAGGCCUACCAAGCCUGCGAUCUCUAGCUGGUCUGAGAGGAUGACCAGCCACACUGGAACUGAGACACGGUCCAGACUCCUACGGGAGGCAGCAGUGGGGAAUAUUGCGCAAUGGGGGGAACCCUGACGCAGCCAUGCCGCGUGAAUGAAGAAGGCCUUAGGGUUGUAAAGUUCUUUCGGUAUUGAGGAAGGUUGAUGUGUUAAUAGCACAUCAAAUUGACGUUAAAUACAGAAGAAGCACCGGCUAACUCCGUGCCAGCAGCCGCGGUAAUACGGAGGGUGCGAGCGUUAAUCGGAAUAACUGGGCGUAAAGGGCACGCAGGCGGUUAUUUAAGUGAGGUGUGAAAGCCCCGGGCUUAACCUGGGAAUUGCAUUUCAGACUGGGUAACUAGAGUACUUUAGGGAGGGGUAGAAUUCCACGUGUAGCGGUGAAAUGCGUAGAGAUGUGGAGGAAUACCGAAGGCGAAGGCAGCCCCUUGGGAAUGUACUGACGCUCAUGUGCGAAAGCGUGGGGAGCAAACAGGAUUAGAUACCCUGGUAGUCCACGCUGUAAACGCUGUCGAUUUGGGGGUUGGGGUUUAACUCUGGCGCCCGUAGCUAACGUGAUAAAUCGACCGCCUGGGGAGUACGGCCGCAAGGUUAAAACUCAAAUGAAUUGACGGGGGCCCGCACAAGCGGUGGAGCAUGUGGUUUAAUUCGAUGCAACGCGAAGAACCUUACCUA